ensembl:lncRNA
UGAGGUUGUGCGAAACCACACCCCUCUGUUCACUAUUGUGCACUAUGCUGGGAAGGUGCAAUACAAUGCAAGUGGAUUUCUUGAGAAAAACAGAGACACAAUACCAGCAAACAUUCGCGAGCUCUUCAUCAACAGUGUCACUCCUCUCCUCAGCGUUCUGUUCGCAGCCACAAUUUCCCGAACAGGCACACUAAUGCCGAGAAAAGCCAAGGUACUGUACAUCUAAGAUUUUUUUUUUUUUGACAUACCAGUUAACUUUAUUAGAGUCUGUUAAAACACAUGAUGUGAUAUUUCCCAGAUACCUUGAUAGGCUGGUGUUUGAACAUAUUUAUAGCUGUAUAGAUGACAAAUUACUCUCUUAACUGUGAUUAAUUCAUGCAGCGUUUCACCACAUGAUCAUGUGUGCAUUUUAAUUCUAGUUACAAGUUGCAGAUGACAACUUUAACUCAACCAGGAAGCAGUCCGUCGGCGCACAAUUCAAGGUAAAUCUUUUAUAGUUAUGUUUUAUGUGUCGGUUUAUUUAAU